GUUCAAUGAAAACCUUCUUAGGAAGGAAGCCAGUUCAUAUCCUUUUACUCAGCAAUCUAGCUAGUCCCUGAAAUAUACAAAAAUCUUGGAAUCCAGAGAUUUCGCUGGGAAUUUUCUCUGAGCUAAUUUUGCAGAAUUGGGCCUCUCGUCUCUCAGGGCCAAAUCCUGGCUGUACCUGCACCCACAGCACAGAGCUGGAUGGAGCUGUGCAUAAACUGGACUGUUUGAUCUUUAAAAGGCUGAAGAAAACCCCAGACCUGAUACCCCAUACAUUGGUCCAGGGCAGAGGUGUUCUGGGCUGUGUGAGUUGGUUAAAGUGACAGUAGACAGGAUGAAGAAGGAUUAUAUGGCAAUGGAGAACUGACUGGAUCCC